UACGUAGGGACCGAGCGUUGUCCGGAAUCAUUGGGCGUAAAGAGCGUGUAGGCGGCCACUUAAGUCCUGCGUGAAAUCUUGCGGCUCAACCGCAAGCGGUCGUGGGAAACUGGGUGGCUAGAGUGCGGGAGAGGAGAGUGGAAUUCCUGGUGUAGCGGUGGAAUGCGUAGAUAUCAGGAGGAACACCUGCGGUGUAGACAGCUUUCUGGACCACUUCUGACGCUGAGACACGAAAGCGUGGGUAGCAAACAGG
rnacentral:rRNA from 1 species